CCUACGGGUGGCAGCAGUAGGGAAUUUUCGUCAAUGGGCGCAAGCCUGAACGAGCGAUGCCGCGUGAGUGAAGAAGGCCUUCGGGUCGUAAAGCUCUGUUGCGGGGGAAAAAAGGCAGCAUCAGGAAAUGGGUGCUGACUGAUGGUGCCCCGCCAGAAAGUCACGGCUAAAUACGUGCCAGCAGCCGCGGGAAUUCGGCGGUGGCGAGCGUUACCCGGAAGGAUUGGGCGUAAAGGGAGCGCGGGCGGGCCUGCAAGUCAGGAGUGAAACGGUUGGGCUCAACCCAUGCAUGGCUUUGGAAACUGGGAGACUGGAGAACAGGAGAGGGCGGUGGAACUCCAGGUGUAGCGGUGAAAUGCGUAGAUAUAUGGAAGAACACCGGUGGCGAAGGCGGCCGCCUGGCCUGUUGCUGACGCUGAGGCACGAAAGCGUGGGGAGCAAAUAGGAUUAGAUACCCGUGUAGUC
rnacentral:rRNA from 1 species